rnacentral:lncRNA from 1 species
UUUCAAUCCUCAGUUUUAUAUGAAAGAAGACUUAUUUUAAAGGGCAAAAAUAAAAAAAAAAUAAAAAUCAAAAACUCAAACCAACCAAUCAGAAACCCCCAACCAAAUGAGCUCUUGUUUAUCUCCAAAGCUUUACAGGCUUCUGUGCAAUUUAUUUGUAAAUUUCUGUCACUCAAAACCAGUGAAGCUCAAUAUCAGAUCCAUAAGCAUCUCAUACAGACCUGCAGCAGUCCUCCUUUCAAAUCAAUGUACAUUUUUGGAAUAGAUUGCUCUGGGCCAGGAUCACCGCUGUGCUUACACCACUUGGCUUCCACUGUAACCGAGCAGCAAAACGGGCCGAUCAGAGACCUGGUUCUUUCUUUGAGACAUGUUUUAAGCAGGAAAUCUUUUAUGUCCAGGACAAGACAUGAUCCAUGGAUUCCUGAAAAGAGAGACAGAGACUUUAUCCUGCUGGUAGUGUCUCCAAAUUUUCGUGAUUGUUGUCUGGAUUCGCUUCAGGUUGAGACUGUGAAUGCAAACCAGUAAGAAAUUUCUCAUACAAGCACUCCCACAACAUCCAUGGAAUUAUCUGUGUGGACAACUGCUCUCCCGUCCAAGCAAGAGAAUCACAGUUGGACAAGAAAACGUGGGACUUUUUGUUCAGCUUGCUCAUCCAGCAUUAUUGCAUAUACUUUAUGCAGUGUUGCAGUUAUGGAGCAGCCAUCUCCAGUGAUAAUCAAGAACGCCAGCACUCCAUGAUGCCACUCCUUUUGGUCUGAGUUUGGACUUUAUUCUGCAAAACUGGAUUGCGAUAUGAUUGGAAAAGCGUGGGAAUGCAGUCACCGCUCCUGCCUGCACCGCUGUUUAUUUAUGGAUAAAUCAGGAGUUUCAGGCUCCAGCACUUUCACAGGCUUUCAUGUCCUCUGAACCUUAAAUUUUUCAUUUUUAACUUUUAAAACAAUAAAGAAGCACUGAAACUUGCUGGCCUGAGGAGAAAUAUUUCUGAUGAAAGAGAAAUAAAUCACCAUCCAGCUUGGCCUAGAACUCGCUGCUCUCAGCUACGGGCCGUUUUAUCGCUUGAGCAGCUCUGCCAAAUACCAACAUCUGGCUCACCUCCAGAUCAUGCAAAUGUAGCAUCCUGUUAAUGAUACUAAAAGACUAAUAAAACAAUUUAUGAAGAUAUUCAAAAUGUCUUCAUUUUAAACGAUUAUCUGGCAUUCACAUUAUUGGAACAAUGAAAGCAGCCGUUGGGACUGGCACCUUCAUUUUCUCUGUGAGCCUCUCAGCUGUGCAGAGGAAAUAUGUAACAAUAUAAAACUUUAUAAGCC